UACGUAGGGGGGCGAGCGUUGUCCGGAUUCAUUGGGCGUAAAGAGCUCGUAGGCGGUCUGUCGCGUCGGCUGUGAAAACCCGAGGCUCAACCUCGGGCCUGCAGUCGAUACGGGCAAACUAGAGUACUGCAGGGGAGACUGGAAUUCCUGGUGUAGCGGUGAAAUGCGCAGAUAUCAGGAGGAACACCGGUGGCGAAGGCGGGUCUCUGGGCAGUAACUGACGCUGGAGGAGCGAAAGCGUGGGGAGCGAACAGG
rnacentral:rRNA from 1 species